GAAUGUUUUCCUUCUAGACUCUAGAGAUAAGAAGAGUGGAGUUGCAGAGCUCCUCACCACUACAGCCAUGGCAGAGCUUCUCACCUUCUCUAAAAAUAUAUCUUCUCUCUCUUCCACUGCAACUCUUAUCCCAUUCCACCACUGCAAACCCUUCUCCAAACUGUCUUCUUCCCUUGUUCCUUCUUUGACUAACGAAAACUUCACCCGGCUUUCAUUUCCCCCUUUCCAAUUGACUUGCAGGAAUCCUGUUCGGUGCAAUUGUGCUCCAUUGUCCGGUGAAUUUGAAGGCGAUGAGGAAAAAAGCGAGGACUAUGACACUGAGGGGGAGUAUGAGGAUAUAGAGAGCGGAGACUUUGAAGAAGAGGCGCAGGCAGCCGUUAGAGAGUACUCACUCUCUCUAUCUAGAGAAUUGUCCAUAGAAGAAGAUGCAUCUGAUCAAAAGAACCAAGGCAAAUGGCAAAAGAGGCGUGCUGGUUCCUUUCAACAUGUUCCUGAUCAUCUUCUUCCGCGAGUUACGAUUGUGGGGAGGCCGAACGUUGGUAAAUCAGCAUUAUUCAAUCGUCUUGUUGGGGGGAAUAGAGCGAUUGUUGUAGAUGAACCUGGUGUUACCAGAGAUCGCUUGUAUGGUAGAUCUUUUUGGGGAGCACAUGAAUUUAUGGUGGUAGACACCGGUGGUGUUCUCACGCUUUCGAAGUCUCAGGCUAGUGUACAAGAGGAAUUGGCAAUAACAACUACCAUUGGUAUGGAUGGAAUUUCGCUUUCUGCUAGAGAGGCAGCUGUUGCAAAGAUGCCUUGCAUGAUAGAGAGACAAGCUGCUACUGCUGUGGAGGAAGCUUCUGUUAUUAUUUUUCUUGUUGAUGGCCAGACAGGCCCAACAGCAGCUGAUGUGGAGAUAGCAGACUGGCUACGUAAGAACCACUCUGACAGAAGUAUCAUUCUUGCUGUGAACAAGUGUGAAUCACCACGCAAGGGGCUUAUGCAAGCCUCAGAAUUUUGGUCAUUGGGGUUUACUCCAAUUCCUAUAUCUGCAGUGUCUGGCACGGGAACAGGAGAGCUUCUUAAUCUUGUUUGUUCAGAGCUAAAAACUAUUGAGGACUCUGAAGAAUAUGAUGGAUUGGAAAACUAUAUCCCUGCAAUUGCUAUCGUUGGCAGGCCAAAUGUUGGGAAGAGUAGCAUUUUGAAUGCAUUGGUUGGGGAGGACAGGACAAUUGUUAGCCCAAUUAGUGGGACCACACGUGAUGCUAUUGAUACUGAAUUCAUGGGAUCAGAUGGGCAAAAGUACAGACUUAUUGAUACAGCUGGGAUAAGACGAAGGGCAGCAGUUGCUUCAGCAGGCAAUCUGACCGAAUCCCUAUCUGUGAAUCGAGCGUUUCGAGCCAUAUGCCGUUCGGAUCUGGUGGCUCUUGUCAUUGAGGCUAUGGCUUGCAUUACAGAGCAGGACUACAGAAUCGCAGAGAGGAUUGAAAAGGAAGGAAAAGGGUGUGUAAUUGUUGUAAAUAAAUGGGACACCAUACCAAAAAAGAAUAACCAGACAGCUACAUACUAUGAACAAGAUGUAAGGGAGAAGCUUCGUAUUCUUGAUUGGGCACCGAUAGUCUACUCAACUGCAACAAGUGGUCAGAGCGUUGACAAGAUUAUAGAUGCUGCUAGCAUGGUUGAAAGAGAGAGGUCAAGAAGGCUGGGCACUUCAAUUUUGAACCAAGUAGUGCAAGAAGCUUUAGCAUUUAAGGCUCCACCAAGGACUAGAGGAGGCAAGAGAGGGAGGGUAUACUAUUGCACUCAGGAAAACUACAUUUGCAGGCCCCAAAAGGAAAUUUAUGGGCCCAACCAGGCACCAAUAUCCUAAUUAGAAAGCUUCUAUCAAGUACUGCAGAUAAUUUCACUAUAAGCUGUAAACCACUUCCUCUUUAUCAGGCAGUAUUCCUUGGGAGCAGUGCGUGACAAAAUUCUUAUUAAAUUCUUUUCCUUUAUGAAUUAUAUUUCUGCAACUUCAGUUUUCGUAUUCCUCAUUCUCUUAUUAUCUGUACUUUUUGGUUAAAUCGUGCAAACUAGUAUGUGCAACCCCUCGCAUGACGCUCAUAACUUACAAGUGGUUUGCUCUUUAGGCAGCUAUUCGUCCUCCUACCUUUGUUUUCUUUGUAAAUGAUGCAAAGCUCUUUCCGGAGACAUACCGGCGUUACAUGGAGAAGCAACUAAGAGCCAACGCAGGGUUUCCAGGCACACCUAUCCGACUACUAUGGCGCAGCAGAAGGAAAACUGAGAAAACUGAAGGGAGAACUACUGGAAGCAAUAUGCAGCAAGUCUAUCCUGGCGCCACUGCUGGGAAUUUGGUGGUGACAAAUUGAUGCAUACUCGGCCUGUUUAUCCAUGAGGCUGCUGGGCUCUUUCCUUCAUAGCAGUUGGUUUGAAAACAACCGGCUUUUACUUUGCCUGAGGAAGUGAUCACUAAUAUAGUGAUUUAGUGCAAGAAGUUGUACAUGUAACACUAAGAUCUUCCUUUUUUUUCAUGGUUACUAGGAUUACAUUUAUGCAAAUCAAGUGCUUUCCCUUUUUGUAUGGAUCCUUUAGUGCACCUGUCUUAAUUCAUGUAAGGGUGUUGAUACUCUCUGGCAAUGAGAGUUGAUCGAAAUCUAUGUACGAAUAUCUCAUGGAGGUUAGACGAUUGUAAAAAAAAAAAAGAAUGAAUCAUGGAGGUUAGAUUGUAUC